GCGUUGGUAGCUCAGUCGGUAGAGCACGGCCCUGAAAAGGCCGGUGUCGGCGGUUCGAUUCCGUUCCAACGCA
rnacentral:tRNA from 1 species